rnacentral:rRNA from 1 species
UACGAAGGGGGCUAGCGUUGUUCGGAUUUACUGGGCGUAAAGCGCACGUAGGCGGACUUUUAAGUCAGAGGUGAAAUCCCAAGGCUCAACCUUGGAACUGCCUUUGAUACUGGAAGUCUUGAGUAUGGUAGAGGUUGGUGGAACUGCGAGUGUAGAGGUGAAAUUCGUAGAUAUUCGCGAAGAACACCAGUGGCGAAGGCGGCCAACUGGACCUUACUGACGCUG